rnacentral:rRNA from 1 species
AUUGAACGCUGGCGGCAUGCCUUACACAUGCAAGUCGAACGGCAGCACGGGUGCUUGCACCUGGUGGCGAGUGGCGAACGGGUGAGUAAUACAUCGGAACGUACCUUAUCGUGGGGGAUAACGCAGCGAAAGCUGUGCUAAUACCGCAUACGCCCUGAGGGGGAAAGCGGGGGAUCGCAAGACCUCGCGCGAUUAGAGCGGCCGAUGCCUGAUUAGCUUGUUGGUGGGGUAAAAGCCCACCAAGGCGACGAUCAGUAGCUGGUCUGAGAGGACGAGCAGCGCCACUGGGACUGGGACACGGCCCAGACUCCUACGGGAGGCAGCAGUGGGGAAUUUUGGACAAUGGGGGCAACCCUGAUCCAGCAAUGCCGCGUGAGUGAAGAAGGCCUUCGGGUUGUAAAGCUCUUUUGUCAGGGAAGAAACACCGGCUCUAACACAGUCCGGGAAUGACGGUACCUGAAGAAUAAGCACCGGCUAACUACGUGCCAGCAGCCGCGGUAA